rnacentral:rRNA from 1 species
CUCUAGAUUUUCCGGUUGAUCCUGCCGGACCUGACUGCUAUCGGAUUGGUACUAAGCCAUGCGAGUCAUUGUACAAUACAAGGCGGACGGCUCAGUAACACGUAGUCAACCUAACUUAUGGACGUGGAUAACCUCGGGAAACUGAGAAUAAACCACGAUAGAUCAUUAUGCCUGCAAUGGCUUAUGGUCGAAAUAGUUUACUGCCAUGGGAUGGGACUGCGGCCUAUCAGCUUGUUGGUGAGGUAAUGGCCCACCAAGGCUAUAACAGGUACGGGCUCUGAGAGGAGAAGCCCGGAGAUGGGUACUGAGACACGGACCCAGGCCCUAUGGGGCGCAGCAGGCGAGAAACCUUAGCCAAUGGUGCGAAAGCACGACUGGGUCAGUCCGAGUGAUUCCUGCUAACGGAAUCUUUUUUGCUUGUCCUACCAAGCACAGGUGAAUAAGGGGUGGGCACGUCUGGUGUCAGCCGCCGCGGUAAUACCAGCACCUCGAGUGGUCAGGACGUUCAUUGGGCCUAAAGCAUCCGUAGCCGGCUCUGCCAGUCUUCGGUUACAUCCACCUGUUCAACAGAUGGGCCGCUGGAGAUACU